rnacentral:misc_RNA from 1 species
GAUGAAGAACGCAGUGAAAUGCGAUACGUAAUGUGAAUUGCAGAAUUCAGUGAAUCAUCGAAUCUUUGAACGCACAUUGCGCCCCUUGGUAUUCCGGGGGGCAUGCCUGUUCGAGCGUCAUUAUAACCCCUCAAGCUCAGCUUGGUGUUGGGGCCUGCCGACUGGCAGCCCUUAAAAUCAGUGGCGGCGCCAUCUGGCUCUAAGCGUAGUAAUUUCUCUCGCUAUAGAGUCCCGGUGGAUGCUUGCCAGCAACCCCCAACUUUCUAUGGUUGACCUCGGAUCAGGUAGGGAUACCCGCUGAACUUAAGCAUAUCAAUAAGCGGAGGA